GUAUUGCUGAAGAGUCCCAAACUAGGACGAAACGGCUGUCCAGUAC
rfam:Trichobilharzia regenti genome assembly, scaffold: TRE_scaffold0084093